ensembl:lncRNA
AGAGAGGCGCUGGAAUCAUCCAGCCAUCCUCCUCGUCAAAGUUAUGGGCAAUUUGACCUACCAUUUAGCCAUUUCCUGGAGCUGGUUGAGUGGUUCUUUGGGCCGUUUCUGCCUUGAAGACAACACACGGAGUGUUAUCGCCCAUGCAGAUGAGGACCCCAGACCGCUGGCUUGAGCCUCCUUGCCCUUGCGAACGUUAAUUCCACCUCUGCUGACUGCUGAAGCUUUCACCAAGUUCAUAGACCCUAAGUGCAGGCAGGGGCCCCUUCCUCUAAGCGACUGAUUUAGUUUCAAAAAGCUAGGGGUUGAAUAGGCAAAUCAGGGAGGGAACAAACCGUGAAGAGUAUCAUAUUACAGAGAAAUUCCCAGAAGCCUGAGUAGGUUCCCUGUAUCUCUUCUGAUUCCAUAUUGAUAGGGAAAAUGUAAGCCCACCCUAUAUGUAGUAUGCUCUUGUAAUAUUGCAAUUUAUAAUAAGAAAUAUAUAUUUUGUCUCCCUCCUGUUUCUGCCCCAGAGCUCCUAAAGACAUUGGAAUUUCUAAGUGAUAAGAGCCAUAAAGGUGAAAAGAGAGUCUUCUGUUCUUCAUAAGAAGCCCCUUUCAGUAACUUCUGAGUUUAUGUCAAUCAGGUGCUUUUGGGAAAUCCCAGGUGGGAGCUGGUUGCCAGGGGAAGGGAACCAACUUUGCAAUUAAAGGGUUGGACCUUUCAGCUCCACCCCGUGCCCCACCUCUGGGGAAGGAAGAGGAGAGAGGGGCUGGAGGGGAAUCAGUCAUCAAUGGCCAAUGGUUUAAUCAAUCAUGCCUAUGUAAUGACACUUCCAUAAAACCCCAAAAGGAUGGGGUUCAGAGAGCUUCCAGGUUGGUGAACACGUGGAGGAGUUGCAAGAGCUGUGCCUGGAGAGGGCGUGGAAGCUCCGCGCCCUUCCCACAUGCCUUGCCCGAUGCCUCCAUCUGGCUGUUCCUGAGUUAUAUUCUUUUAUAAUAAACUGGUAAUCUAGUAAGUAAACUGUUUGCCUGAGUUCUAUGAGCCACUCCAACAAGUUAAUUGAACCUGAAGAGGGGUCAUGGGACCCUCUGAUUUACAGCCCAUCAGAAGCAGAGGUGACAGCCUGGAGUUGUGAUUGGCACCUACAGUGGGGCUGGGGGAACUGCCCAUCUGGAACCACGUUAGAUUAAAUUCACGACCUGAGGUCCACUCCUCAAUCCCCACCCCGGCCAACCAGAUUAUGUGAAUUUCAGCUACAGAUCUGCUCAGGAGCUGCUUAUAUUUGCAACUUCUCAGGUGGGUUCUAGGACCCUGGUGAAGAAGGGCUUCUGGCAAGUUGCCCCUCCAAGUCAGCAGAGAUUCCUAGACAAACUGAAGGCCAGAAGUGUGCGCAAGUUUGGCUCAAGCUGGAAGCUCACACUGGGAACAAUCCAAGGACCCUCAGAGAACAGUCGUUCUACUCCGGGUGGCAAGAGAGGAAUAUUAGGCUAGGGAACUCAGCAAGUUACAGCGAGGGUGUUCUGGCCUCUUCAAGGACAUUGGCAUUUUUGCUUCCAUUUUAAGUGUGUGCAUUGGCCUUUCCCCAGUACAUCCUUCAGAGUCCCAGGCUAAGCAGACAAUGGGAGGGCAACUCAUAACCCAGGCAUGGAAUGGUGGAAAAGUUGUGGAGAAGAGCUUCUCAAGACAGUGACGAACAAGGGGAUGGUGCCUGCUGCUUCCCUCAACCAAUAGGUUCCAGGCAGGUUAGGUUCAGGGCAGGAGAUGACCUGAGGGCACCACAGGUCUUGGGGAAGGAACUGGAUGAGAUGUAAGUUCUUCUGGCCUCUUGUUUCAAUAAACCUAUGAUGAAAAUGAUAACGGUGAUC